CGUGCAGGCGGUCUGUUAAGUGCAGGGUGAAAGCUCCCGGCUCAACUGGGAGAGGUCCUUGCAUACUGGCGGACUUGAGGGGGGUAGAGGAAAGUGGAAUUCCCGGUGUAGUGGUGAUAUGCGUAGAUAUCGGGAGGAACACCUGUGGCGAAGGCGGCUUUCUGGGCCCUACCUGACGCUGAGACGCGAAAGCGUGGGGAGCGAACCGGAUUAGAUACCCGGGUAGUCCACGCCGUAAACUAUGGACACUAGGUGUGGGGGGUAUCGACCCCCUCCGUGCCGCAGCUAACGCAAUAAGUGUCCCGCCUGGGGAGUACGGCCGCAAGGCUAAA
rnacentral:rRNA from 1 species